rnacentral:rRNA from 1 species
CCCGAAAGCGUGGGUAGCAAACAGGAUUAGAUACCCUGGUAGUCCGCGCCCUAAACGAUGUCGAUUAGCUGUUGGGCAGCAUGACUGCUUAGUAGCGAAGCUAACGCGUGAAAUCGACCGCCUGGGGAGUACGGUCGCAAGAUUAAAACUCAAAGGAGUUGACGGGGACCCGCACAAGCGGUGGAUGAUGUGGAUUAACUCGAUGCAACGCGAAGAACCUUACCUGGUCUUGACAUGUACGGAACCCUCCAGAGACGGAGGGGUGCCUUCGGGAGCCGUAACACAGGUGCUGCAUGGCUGUCGUCAGCUCGUGUCGUGAGAUGUUGGGUUAAGCCCCGCAACGAGCGCAACCCUUGUCAUUAGUUGCCAUCAUUAAGUUGGGCACUCUAAUGAGACUGCCGGUGACAAGCCGGAGGAAGGUGGGGAUGACGUCAAGUCCUCAUGGCCCUUAUGACCAGGGCUUCACGCGUCAUACAAUGGUCGGUACAGAGGGUAGCCAAGCCGCGAGGUGGAGCCAAUCCCACAAAACCGAUCGUAGUCCGGAUUGCACUCUGCAACUCGAGUGCAUGAAGUCGGAAUCGCUAGUAAUCGCAGGUCAGCAUACUGCGGUGAAUACGUUCCCGGGUCUUGUACACACCGCCCGUCACACCAUGGGAGUGGGGGAUACCAGAAGUAGGUAGGGUAACCGCAAGGAGCCCGCUUACCACGGUAUGCUUCUUGACUGGGGUGAAGUCGUAACAAGGUAGCCG